CUUUAGCUUCUGCAGCUCCAAAAAAACCCCCAAGUCGCCGAGAUGCAGCUCCAAAAAUCCCCAAGUCGCCGAGAAGCCCAGAGCUGCAAAUCUCGCUCCUCUCUCUCUCGGAACACCACGGGAGGUUGUCAUCGGAAUCUGCGGAAAUCGGGCUGAUUUCGGGGUCUCUGAAGGGGAUGGUGUUCGGAAUUGCAUUGAUGGCCUGCUGGGGUAACGGUUAUGGCUGGUUGUUGUUGUUGCUUCAUUGUUUCGUCGUGUUGAGAUUUGAAUUGCUUUGUGAAAUGCUAGUGUGAUUUAUGGAUUUAACUCAGUUUCUGUUGCUUCAUUGUUUCUCAAAUUCAAUCUCAGCUGCUUAUGGAUUUAACUACUGUUUUGGUUUCUAGGUCUUUUACGAUUCCUUCACGAAUCAUUUGAAGGGCGUUGGGGGUCUUAAUUUGGUGGUAUUGAGAAUUAAAAGGCCGCUUCCUUCGUGGUGGCUGUAGUGGGUGCUUGAGGGGUGAAUCUGUGCUUAUGGUGGAGGAUUGGAGGCUUUGGCGUUCAUCUGAC
rnacentral:lncRNA from 1 species